UCUCGCUCUCUUUAAGGUGAUUCAAGUCCACUGCAACAAAUGUUUUUCACCAGUCUAGCAAUACUCCUCUUGACUUGUCCCCUCCAAGAUACAACAGCUUAAUCACAAAGUGUAACUCAACAAACUCUGGACAAGAGUUGAGUUCAAAGCUCCACAAAAAGAACACCUCCCUUCAAUUAAUAAGAACUCUCUUUUUGACAAACUUUAUGCACUCUAUAUUUUUCUUAUGUAUCUAAACCAAAUGAAGACCACCACUAUUUAUACUAGAAGAAGUCUUCCUAGCAUUGAAUAGGAAGAUAAUGGGGUAGUAAAUAUUGAAGAUAAAUGACCUUAAG
rnacentral:lncRNA from 1 species